ACGUAGGGUGCGAGCGUUAAUCGGAAUUACUGGGCGUAAAGCGUGCGCAGGCGGUUUUGUAAGACAGGCGUGAAAUCCCCGGGCUCAACCUGGGAACUGCGUUUGUGACUGCAAGGCUAGAGUAUGGCAGAGGGGGGUGGAAUUCCACGUGUAGCAGUGAAAUGCGUAGAGAUGUGGAGGAACACCAAUGGCGAAGGCAGCCCCCUGGGCCAAUACUGACGCUCAUGCACGAAAGCGUGGGGAGCAAACAGGAUUAGAUACCCUGGUAGUCCACGCCCUAAACGAUGUCAACUAGGUGUUGGGUGGGUAAAACCAUUUGGUACCGUAGCUAACGCGUGAAGUUGACCGCCUGGGGAGUACGGCCGCAAGGUUA
rnacentral:rRNA from 1 species